rfam:Chelonia mydas contig181247, whole genome shotgun sequence.
GUUAAAAGCUAGGGCUAGGAUUUGGAGGAUGUGUAGGCAAACGGAAGGAGAGCCGGGGGAAGAAAAACCGAAAUGGAUUCAUUCUCUGUCCUGGAUGGAGAAGGAUAAGAGAAGAGAAGGGGACGUGAAAGCUUCCUUCAACUGCCUGUGUCCGGUGAAAAGUGAUCAACCCCCCGGGGCUGAAUAGAACUCAAAGAGUCCACGCGGACUUUCGCUGUAUCCUGCCAAUCAAACUGCUUACUGGACAACACCCUGAUCUGGCAUGGACAU